UUUAUAAUUCCAGUUGUUCUGUUAUAGAAAUUCCCUCUCCUACUUCACAAUUGGUCAUGCAAAUAUUUUAAUAGAUACUUUCCAAAGAUUGUCCUCUAUUACCUUUCGCUUAAAGCGCUUAAAAUGCACUCUAUUGCCUCAUGCUAGAAUUAUACAUCUUUCAAAGGCAUUUAUUUUCCAUUUGACCACAUUUUGUCGACCUUGCAAGCUAAUGGGCAUAAGUGCCUUCAAACUCUUUCAGUUUUUGUAUUCUCACGCCAUCCACAUGGGGUUGUUCAUUUUAUUAUUUGACUCUUUAUGCAAACUAAAUCAUAUGUAAUAUAUACGUAUUAUUGGCAUCAAAAAAAGAGCAUAUUUAUUUUAUGCUAAAAAAUAUUGUGAACUUUUCUUUUUAUGAAUAUCAAUUAUGAUGUAAUGUUUACAUGAUCUUGUUGUCUUAACUGUUACACAGUUUGUCUGUUUUUGUAUUUAUUUCUGUAUCAAGAAAGUUUUGUAUAUAUUGAAAAAACAUGAACAGGGACAAUCAGUGUAAAUACAUACCAAGGGUGUACAAUACUUCCUCACUGGAGCAAAGCCUUCUCUAGUCCAAAAGACUCAAAACUGCCCAUCUUUACAAAAAUAGUCAAUACACUACCAAGAGAAUACAUUUUCUCCACCAAAAAAAAAGAAUGAAUAUCAUCAUUAUGCCAAAAGURCAUUCAGCCCUAAUGUCAUUGUGAAUGUGAAAAUAGAGUAUAUUUUAAAUUGAAUAUCAAAGUUCAGAAUCCACUGGGGGUAAAAAAAAAAUCACAUCACGAUUUACAGUAGUGCCCAAAGAAACUGUUCACUCUAAAGAACACAAUUCUGUUGAUAAUGCUUCUAAAAAACAGUCACUCCGGGCAGCAAAAUAAUACAAAAAUCUUUUCAUGCAGAGUUUUUUGUUGUGAAGAACCUUGUUACAUUGAAUAGAAUAUAUUCUGGUGUUCCCUCCUCUUCCUGCUGUGUUGUUUGAGGGCGAGAGAGGGAGAGAGAGAUUGUGUAAGGAGUGCGUGGGGCGGCCCACUGACGCUAAAUGAGAUUGCGUAAUGCUAGGUAGGAGGGUUUGAGUAGACGGCCCAGGCUCUGUGGAGGAGGCAUGGAGGAUCUGAGUCAGCCAGUGGCCUUGGAGUCUGAGCUUAACGUCCAGUAUGUUGCUUUUCAUAGAUUUCACUUGCUUACUCACAACUGUGGCUUGUCUGUGUAUAUUCAGGGGAGGCAAGACUCACAAUCCUUCCAUGUAAUUAAUAUGUAUUUUACUCUAACAUGUCAUUAGAUUUGCAUUAUUCAUUUUCUGUCAAAUGGUUUGUAAAAUCACUACCUACCCUAUUAAUCAGAACCAUAUCAUUUCUUAGUCGGUUUUGUUUCCUAGUUGUCACCUGUCAUAUAUCUUAGUGCACAUUACCUGACAAAUGUAGAGUUGGUUAACUGAGUACACUGAUAAUGUGUGUAUAUUGAAAAUGUAGAUUGCUUCCUGUCAAGAUACUGUUUGUCUAUGUUUGUCCUUUCGUUUGAUUAAUAGAUGUGUAACUAAGGUUCAACCAGAUGCCCUGGAAGGUGUCCAGCCCUCACCCACUUGCCUUCUAUAAACACACCUUUUACUGAUCAAAUGGUUGCUUAGUUGUCCCAACCCACCCCAGCCCCCUCUACCCUACCUGCUCCACCAUCUUUAGGUUGUCUUAAAGCAGUACCUGGUAUAAAUGACUGCUACUCUAUAUUCUAUAAUCUGUCCAAUGUGCUGAUCUUGAACAGGCUCUCUGAUGACUGUGACAACACUAAACCAUUGGGAUCAUGCAUAACACAGUAAAUCAAGUCAGACUGAGUUAUCUGGUUGAACCAGGGUCAAUCUUUUGUAAUUUGUCCCCCAAAUGUGUGGUAGAAAACUGCUUCAAAACCUGCGUGAGGGAUUUUACAAGGCUAUUAUAAUUCAAAGUGAAAUGAUGCAAAUCUUACCAAACAUUCCAUGUGUUUGUUGGCGUUCAUAAUGUGUGCCCUUUUGUACAUAAGACAAAGUGAAUGCUUUUGCUGUAAAUAAGGGGAUGUAUUUUUGUAUUUGAAAUGUAUUUUGGUAUUCACCUGGCGCCUUUGGGAAGGAACUAGCCAGUUGCUGACCUUUCACACUGUGGCUGUACAAGUAAAUUGCAUGUAUUUCUGGGUAAGCCACAGGAGCCUUUCUGUAUUGCCUUUCUGUAUCAGUCUCUUUAAUAGUAGUGUUAGUAAGUAGAGUUAGUAUCAAGCAAAAUAUAAAAAAUUGCAUCAGCAUAA